rnacentral:rRNA from 1 species
AGAGUUUGAUCAUGGCUCAGAACGAACGCUGGCGGCGUGGAUUAGGCAUGCAAGUCGAACGCGAUCUUCCGGUGUAGCAAUACAUCGGGAGUGAGAGUGGCGAAAGGGUGAGUAACACGUGGGUAAUCUGCCUUAGGGAUCGGGAUAACCUGUCGAAAGAUAGGCUAAUACCGGAUACGACUCCUUGUGCUUCGGCAUGAGGAGUGAAAGAUGGCCUCUACUUGUAAGCUAUCACCUUUAGAGGAGCCCGCGUCGUAUUAGCUUGUUGGUAGGGUAACGGCCUACCAAGGCAAUGAUGCGUAGCUGGUCUGAGAGGAUGGUCAGCCACACUGGGACUGAGACACUGCCCAGACACCUACGGGUGGCUGCAGUCGAGAAUCUUUCGCAAUGGGGGAAACCCUGACGAAGCGACGCCGCGUGAGCGAUGAAGGUCUUCGGAUUGUAAAGCUCUGUCACAAGGGACGAAAAAUUAACCAGUGAACAAUUGGUUGAUUUGACGGUACCUUGAGAGGAAGCCCCGGCUAACUCCGUGCCAGCAGCCGCGGUAAUACGGAGGGGGCAAGCGUUGUUCGGAUUUACUGGGUGUAAAGGGUAUGUAGGCGGUUCGGUAAGUUAGAUGUGAAAUCUCAAGGCUUAACCUUGAAACUGCAUUUAAUACUGCCGUGCUAGAGUACGAAAGAGGGAGAUGGAAUUCUCGGUGUAAGAGUGAAAUCUGCAGAUAUCGAGAGGAACACCAGUAGCGAAGGCGAUCUCCUGGGUCGAUACUGACGCUG